ensembl:lncRNA
NNNNNNNNNNNNNNNNNNNNNNNNNGGGGACAUGGGGACACAGGGGGGACAUGGGGACACCCCAGCUUCAUGUCCCCAGUGUCCCUAGGGGACAUGGGGACACCCCCGCACCAUGUCCCCAAAGGUCCCCAGUGUCCCUUGGGGGACAUGGGGACACAGGAGGGACAUGGGGACACCCCAGUCUCAUGUCCCCAGUGAGACACGGGGACAUAAGAGGGACAGGGACACCCUGGAUCCUUGUCCCCGGUGGGGACACAGGGACACAGGGGGACAGAGACACCCCAGCUUCAUGUCCCCAAGGGUCCCUUGGGGGACAUGGGGACAUGCGAGGGACAUGGGGACACCCCGGAUCUGUGUCCUCUGGGGGACAACGGACUCCAGGAGGGGACAAGGACACCCCGGUGGCAUGUCCUAGCCAUGACACGGGAGGGACAGGGACACCCUGGAUCAAUGUCACGGAGGGGACAAGGGACAUGGGGAUGCGGGGACAUCCCGGCUCUGCGUCCUCUGGGACGGAUCGGGACGAGGGAGGCCAGGGAGGGGACACGGUCCUGCGGUGACACAGCGGGGACAUGGGGACACCCCGGGUCCAUGUCCCCAGGGGUUCCCAGUGUCCCUGGGGGACAUGGGGACACCCCAGCAGCAUGUCCCCAAGGGCUCCCCAGUGUCCCCAGGGGACAUGGAGACACAAGGGGGACACGGGGACGUAAGAGGGACGUGGGGACACCUGGCUCCAUGUCCCCGUGGGUUCCCAGUGUCCACAGGGAGGGACAUGGGGACAUGGGAAGGACAUGGGGACACACCAGCCUCAUGUCCCUUAGUGGCCCUUGGGGACAUGGAGACGCACGAGGGACAUGGGGACAGCUGGACCCAUGUCCCCAAGGGUCCACCCAGUGUCCUUUGGGGGACAUGGGGACACAGGAAGGACAUGGGGACAUCGUGGAUCCAUGUCUCCAGGGGUUCCCCAGUGUCCCUGGGCGACAUGGGGACACAGAAGGGACAUGGGGACACCCUGGAUCCAUGUCCCCAGGGGUUCCCCAGUGUCCCUGGGGGACAUGGGGACACGAGGAGGACAUGGGGACAUCCUGGAUCUGUGUCCCCAAGGGGUUCCCAGUGUCCCUGGGGGACAUGGGGACACAAGAGGGACAUGGGGACACCCCUGCAUCAUGUCCCCAGGGGUUCCCAAUGUCCCUGGGGGACAUGGGGACACCUCUGAAUCAUGUCCCCAAGGGUCCCCAGUGUCCCCUGGGGGACAAGGGGACACAAGAGGGACAUGGGGACAUGCUGGAUCUGUGUCCCCAAGGGUUCCCCAGUGUCCCUGGAGGACACGAGGACACGAGGGUGACACCGGGGACACCCCAGAUCCAUGUCCCUACGGGUUCCCAGUGUCCAGGGGACACCAGAGGGGCGUGGGGACACCCCCAACCCCAUGUCCCCAAGGGACACGGGGGACACCUCAGCUCUGUCCCUACGAUUCCCCCAGCGUCCCUGGGGGACACGGGGUGGGGGGAUGACAACGGGGACACCCAAGGGUCCCCUGGGGCAGCG